GGAUAGGAAUACAGAUAGGUUUAGAAAUCAUAGACAUUUAUUUUAUCUUUUCUUGGAUAUAUCAACAUGCAACCCAUUAUGUCUUAUAGUGUUUUUUAAUGUAUAUGUGUGCAGGUCUAGUUCAGGGGGUGUCAAACAUAUGGCCCUGGGGCCAGAGUGCCAAAGGGUCCAAUCUGGCCCAUUAGAUGACUUUGGACACCUCGUGCUGAUGCACAUGUGAAGGCUGAGCAAGUUAAACAAUCAGCGCGUCCAGGCUGCCCCGCGAUGAAGAUCCUUAAUUUACAGUCCUUCCACUUCUUCCUGGUGGUGAGGAUGUAGGGGAGCAGCAAGCCUGCCUGACCAAAAAUCCAGGACAGACGGAUGAACAACAUGACACCCCAGAUGUUCAGCAUGCAUCUCACCUGUGGAAGAGAAGAAAAACGUGAGGUCAAAGUCUUCAGUGUGGUGGGUCAUGAUUUAUUACUGUGUCAAGUAUGGGAUAGAAAGAUGCUAAUGUUAAUGACAUGCAUUCUUGAACAUAAAGACAUUUAUCCAUAUUUUCUAUUCCAAAAAAUUUGUAACUCAAUUAAAAAAUA